rnacentral:rRNA from 1 species
GACGAACGCUGGCGGCGUGCUUAACACAUGCAAGUCGAGCGGUAAGGCCCUUUCGGGGGUACACGAGCGGCGAACGGGUGAGUAACACGUGGGUGACCUGCCCUCAGCUCUGGGAUAAGCCUGGGAAACCGGGUCUAAUACUGGAUAUGACUCCAUGACGCAUGUUGUGGGGUGGAAAGCCUUGUGCGGCUGAGGAUGGGCCCGCGGCCUAUCAGCUUGUUGGUGGGGUGANGGCCUACCAAGGCGACGACGGGUAGCCGGCCUGAGAGGGCGACCGGCCGACACUGGGACUGAGACACGGCCCAGACUCCUACGGGAGGCAGCAGUGGGGAAUCUUGCGCAAUGGGCGAAAGCCUGACGCAGCGACGCCGCGUGAGGGAUGACGGCCUCGGUUGUAAC